rnacentral:rRNA from 1 species
GACGAACGCUGGCGGCGUGCCUAAUACAUGCAAGUAGAACGCACAGUUUAUACCGUAGCUUGCUACACCAUAGACUGUGAGUUGCGAACGGGUGAGUAACGCGUAGGUAACCUGCCUGGUAGCGGGGGAUAACUAUUGGAAACGAUAGCUAAUACCGCAUAAUAUUAAUUAUUGCAUGAUAAUUAAUUGAAAGGUGCAAUUGCACCACUACCAGAUGGACCUGCGUUGUAUUAGCUAGUAGGUGAGGUAACGGCUCACCUAGGCGACGAUACAUAGCCGACCUGAGAGGGUGAUCGGCCACACUGGGACUGAGACACGGCCCAGACUCCUACGGGAGGCAGCAGUAGGGAAUCUUCGGCAAUGGACGAAAGUCUGACCGAGCAACGCCGCGUGAGUGAAGAAGGUUUUCGGAUCGUAAAGCUCUGUUGUAAGAGAAGAACGGGUGUGAGAGUGGAAAGUUCGCACUGUGACGGUAUCUUACCAGAAAGGGACGGCUAACUACGUG